GUCGGGAAUUUUGGGCAAUGGGCGAAAGCCUGACCCAGCAACGCCGCGUGAGGGAUGAAGUAUUUCGGUAUGUAAACCUCGAAAGAAUGGGAAGAAUAAAUGACGGUACCAUUUAUAAGCUCCGGCUAACUACGUGCCAGCAGCCGCGGUAAUACGUAGGGAGCAAGCGUUGUUCGGAUUUACUGGGCGUAAAGGGCGCGUAGGCGGCGCGGUAAGUCACUUGUGAAAUCUCUGAGCUUAACUCAGAACGGCCAAGUGAUACUGCUGUGCUAGAGUGCGGAAGAGGCAACCGGAAUUCUUGGUGUAGCGGUGAAAUGCGUAGAUAUCAAGAGGGACACCUGAGGCGAAGGCGGGUUGCUGGGCCGACACUGACGCUGAUGCGCGAAAGCCAGGGGAGCAAACG
rnacentral:rRNA from 1 species